UACUUUGUGCAGUGGCAGAAUCAUAGCCAAUGAGGUUUAUCCAAGGUGCAAUUAUUGCUAAUUGAAAACUUUUCCCAAUACCCUGUUGUGACAACUUGCAAUACAGUCAGCACUGGCAGUUUUUGACCAAUAGGACAUAGCUGGACAGGCAAAUUG
rnacentral:snRNA from 1 species